GCACCCCACCCGCCCCCUCCCGGAAGCACGCGCCCGCGCCCACGAGCAGCCUGCUUUUCUUCUUAUUGGCAGUGUUUAAUCAACUAAAAUUACAAAAGGUAUUCAGUGACUUCCUGUGGCCACGGCUCCUCACUGCAGUCACCACCCAGCCUACUUCACACCCAUCAGAUCCUGCCAUGAAAAUCCCGAUCUCUCCAGACUCUCACUCCUUGAGGACUCUUCCAGGAGACAAAUGCUGAUUGCACACAUAAACUCCAGCCAAGUAUUUUUUUCAGAUUGCCAUACUUGAGGCUCCUAUAGAUGCAUUGUGCAAGAGAGAAAUCUUAGGAGCAACUAACAUCAUUGCCACAGACCAGCUGCAGUCGAUGUAAGGUAUGAGGCUGACUUGCUGUAAUCUACACUUUCUCAUCAGACUUGGCCACCCAACCCAUAUGAGAUAUGUCCUUUGCAUCUAUGGAGAAGGUUUUUCUCUGUUUUAAAGGGAGGAAUGAAAAGUAUCCAGCGCAUCAUAAUAAACAGAUAGCAAGGACUUCCUUUUCUAAAGAAAUUUGGAAACUUCAAAUCUCCUUUCUUACAGUUUUCAGUGAGACCUCAUUGUGAACUUUUUCUGAUGGAAAGAAGUAUUUUCAAGAACAUCAAGUGCUUUCAAGAAUAAUUAAGAAUUAUUCCAAAGUACAUUCUAAUGGCUAUUUUAGCAAUUUGAAACUUCA
rnacentral:lncRNA from 1 species